rnacentral:rRNA from 1 species
GACGAACGCUGGCGGCGUGCUUAACACAUGCGAGUCGAACGGAAAGGCCCUGCUUUUGUGGGGUGCUCGAGUGGCGAACGGGUGAGUAACACGUGAGUAACCUGCCCUUGACUUUGGGAUAACUUCAGGAAACUGGGGCUAAUACCGGAUAGGAGCUCCUGCUGCAUGGUGGGGGUUGGAAAGUUUCGGCGGUUGGGGAUGGACUCGCGGCUUAUCAGCUUGUUGGUGGGGUAGUGGCUUACCAAGGCUUUGACGGGUAGCCGGCCUGAGAGGGUGACCGGCCACAUUGGGACUGAGAUACGGCCCAGACUCCUACGGGAGGCAGCAGUGGGGAAUAUUGCACAAUGGGCGGAAGCCUGAUGCAGCAACGCCGCGUGCGGGAUGACGGCCUUCGGGUUGUGAACCGCUUUCGCCUGUGACGAAGCGUGAGUGACGGUAAUGGGUAAAGAAGCACCGGCUAACUACGUG